ensembl:snoRNA small nucleolar RNA SNORA17
UAUGCCCCUCGAGGCGUUGCAGCUCAACUGAGUGUUGCAGCUGUGUCAUGAGGUGGCAGAGAGAGACUGGUGGGAGUCUGCACUGAGACUCGACGCACGGAGGACUCGGCGUGAAUCCUUCCACCAAC